ACUCCUACGGGAGGCAGCAGUGGGGAAUUUUGCGCAAUGGGCGAAAGCCUGACGCAGCAACGCCGCGUGAGUGAUGAAGGCUUUCGGGUCGUAAAGCUCUGUCAAUGGGAAAGAAGUGUAUUAUGGCUAAUAUCCAUGAUACUUGACGGUACCCAUAAAGGAAGCACCGGCUAACUCCGUGCCAGCAGCCGCGGUAAUACGGAGGGUGCGAGCGUUGUUCGGAAUUAUUGGGCGUAAAGCGCGUGUAGGCGGUUUAUUAAGUCUGAUGUGAAAGCCCCGGGCUCAACCUGGGAAGUGCAUUGGAUACUGGUAGACUUGAAUACGGGAGAGGGUAGUGGAAUUCCUGGUGUAGGAGUGAAAUCCGUAGAUAUCAGGAGGAACACCGGUGGCGAAGGCGGCUGCCUGGACCGAUAUUGACGCUGAGACGCGAAAGCGUGGGUAGCAAACAGGAUUAGAUACCCUGGUAGUCCACGCCGUAAACGAUGAGAACUAGGUGUCGCGGGUA
rnacentral:rRNA from 1 species